rnacentral:other from 1 species
GGUUCCCUGCGGUGCCCGUGAUAAAUGGUAAGCUUCGAGCCAACACCUCUUUAUUGGGGGCCUUCACUAAUUGCGGUGUGCAUGCUCGUCAUGACGAGAAGCCUGAUGCAACAACAAGGUGCCCACGUAAACCAGAGGUUCAAGAUUUUACUGUUUACACGGCAUCUGCGGGGGUAAU